AGGGGUAUAGUUCAAUGAUAGAGCACAUGCUUAGCAUGCAUGAGGUCCUGGGUUCAAUCCCUAGUACCUCCA
rfam:Camelus ferus unplaced genomic scaffold scaffold843, whole genome shotgun sequence.